AGAGUUUGAUCAUGGCUCAGGAUGAACGCUGACAGAAUGCUUAACACAUGCAAGUCUAUUUGAAGCACCUUCGGGUGUGGAGGAUGGCGGACGGGUGAGUAACGCGUAAGGAACUUGCCUCUUGGACUGGGACAACUGUUGGAAACGACAGCUAAUACCGGAUAUUAUGAGAUUCUCGCAUGAGAAACUUAUGAAAGCUAUAUGCGCCAAGAGAGAGCCUUGCGUUCCAUUAGCUAGUUGGUGGGGUAAAGGCCUACCAAGGCGACGAUGGAUAGCCGGCCUGAGAGGGUGAACGGCCACAAGGGGACUGAGACACGGCCCUUACUCCUACGGGAGGCAGCAGUGGGGAAUAUUGGACAAUGGACCAAAAGUCUGAUCCAGCAAUUCUGUGUGCACGAUGAAGGUCUUCGGAUUGUAAAGUGCUUUCAGUUGGGAAGAAGAAAGUGACGGUACCAACAGAAGAAGCGACGGCUAAAUACGUGCCAGCAGCCGCGGUAAUACGUAUGUCGCAAGCGUUAUCCGGAUUUAUUGGGCGUAAAGCGCGUCUAGGCGGAAAAGUAAGUCUGAUGUGAAAAUGCGGGGCUCAACUCCGUAUUGCGUUGGAAACUGCUUUUCUAGAGUACUGGAGAGGUGGGCGGAACUACAAGUGUAGAGGUGAAAUUCGUAGAUAUUUGUAGGAAUGCCGAUGGAGAAGUCAGCUCACUGGACAGAUACUGACGCUGAAGCGCGAAAGCGUGGGGAGCAAACAGGAUUAGAUACCCUGGUAGU
rnacentral:rRNA from 1 species